CGGUAAUACGGAGGAUCCAAGCGUUAUCCGGAAUCAUUGGGUUUAAAGGGUCCGUAGGCGGUCAGAUAAGUCAGUGGUGAAAGCCCAUCGCUCAACGGUGGAACGGCCAUUGAUACUGUCUGACUUGAAUUAUUAGGAAGUAACUAGAAUAUGUAGUGUAGCGGUGAAAUGCUUAGAGAUUACAUGGAAUACCAAUUGCGAAGGCAGGUUACUACUAAUUGAUUGACGCUGAUGGACGAAAGCGUGGGUAGCGAACAGGAUUAGAUACCCUGGUAGUCCACGCCGUAAACGAUGGAUACUAGCUGUUGGGAGCAAUCUCAGUGGCUAAGCGAAAGUGAUAAGUAUCCCACCUGGGGAGUACGAACGCAAGUUUGAA
rnacentral:rRNA from 1 species